ensembl:lncRNA
CCGCGGCCUCGGCCGCCACCGCGUGGGCGCAGCCGGAGGUGCAGCUCCUCCUCUCUUUCCCCCCCCCACCCACCCCAACCCGUCGGGGCAGCGCCGCCAGAGCCCCGCACGGCUCCAGGUGGGUCCCGCACUCCGGGGAUGGGCUCAGCUGUGCGGGGUGGGCAGCGGGAGCGGAUCGCCAGCACCUGGGGCGGGGAAGGGGCGUAAAAACCAGCAGGUGGAGGCACCGCCCCUUCCCCUGGGCUCCCCUCGGUCCGUGGAGCUUUGCUUUUGCUCUGAGGAGCUCUCUCGUGGUUUCUCUGGUGACGUCGGUUGAGUUGCAGUGCGUGGCCUUGCUAGCAGCUCAUGUGCGUGCAGCUCUAAUCAAGUUUUCCAGAGCCGCGGUCCAAAUGAGGAUCUGUGUGCAGAAUAUCCGACCCAGGAGAACGGGAUGGAGCUUUGCAUGGGAAGCAAUGCCAGGCUGGAAAUUUCCAAAGCGCUCAGCGGUUCACCUGCACUGCAGCGCAGACCACAUCCCCUCCGUGCACAGCUCUGCCAGCCCUGAGCUCCUGCUCGCAGGUGGAUGGGUUGCACUCAGCGCUGGAAGAGUGUUGUAAGGCAGCUUUAUAAUCGCUUUAUAAUCUCUGAAAUUGCUUUCUACCAUUAUUUCCGCUCCUGGAUCCAACUGUCCAUCAGCAGCUUUCAGUGCAAAUGUGUUUUUUAAUGCUUGUCUUGCAGUGUUUUGCAAACAAUGGACCCAUUAUUGUCUUGAGUUCAGAUGGCCUGCUUACACGUAACCAUGGCCAUCCAUAUAACCUCCUUGUUCCGUUGAACGGUGCAGAGGAUGCAAACAAUGUGUACUGUUCUGAGAGCAAAUGCAGAAGUGAUCCAUACUGCACAGGUCACAGCGGAGCCUGGCCGUUAAUUGGCUGUACAGUUGUAGGAGAAGGGAGGAAAACCCAACCACAGCCCAUCUUUGUGGCUGGGCCAAAGGUGGGCAAGAUCACAGCUGAAGUGCUCACGUGGGCUCCUGAUUGUGGAAACACGCUGAAUAUGUGAUACAACGUGAAGUUACGUAACACCUUUAAUGAAAUUCUUGGCGAUAAAACAAUGCAUAAAAAGAACAGAUGUGGCAAAUUGCAGCCGCGGUCUGAUCCCUUU